rfam:Fictibacillus macauensis ZFHKF-1 Contig26, whole genome shotgun sequence.
CACCCGCUCCAACCGCACAGAAGCAGGUUUUUAAGCGCUAGUCGCACCUGUCAUGGCGAGUCUGAGUCUACAA